CACUGUAGCCCCACAGAUGAAGG
rnacentral:piRNA from 1 species